UACGUAGGGGGCAAGCGUUGUCCGGAAUCAUUGGGCGUAAAGAGCGUGUAGGCGGCUCGAUAAGUCCGCUGUGAAAGUCCAGGGCUCAACCCUGGAAGGCCGGUGGAAACUGUCGGGCUAGAGUCCGGAAGAGGCGAGUGGAAUUCCCGGUGUAGCGGUGAAAUGCGCAGAUAUCGGGAGGAACACCAAUGGCGAAGGCAGCUCGCUGGGACGGUACUGACGCUGAGACGCGAAAAGCGUGGGGAGCGAACAGG
rnacentral:rRNA from 1 species